rnacentral:rRNA from 1 species
AACGAACGCUGGCGGCAUGCCUAACACAUGCAAGUCGAACGAGACCUUCGGGUCUAGUGGCGCACGGGUGCGUAACGCGUGGGAAUCUGCCCUUUGCUUCGGAAUAACAGUUAGAAAUGACUGCUAAUACCGGAUGAUGUCUUCGGACCAAAGAUUUAUCGGCAAAGGAUGAGCCCGCGUAGGAUUAGGUAGUUGGUGGGGUAAAGGCCUACCAAGCCGACGAUCCUUAGCUGGUCUGAGAGGAUGAUCAGCCACACUGGGACUGAGACACGGCCCAGACUCCUACGUGAGGCAGCAGUGGGGAAUAUUGGACAAUGGGCGCAAGCCUGAUCCAGCAAUGCCGCGUGAGUGAUGAAGGCCUUCGGGUCGUAAAGCUCUUUUACCAGGGAUGAUAAUGACAGUACCUGGAGAAUAAGCUCCGGCUAACUCCGUGCCAGCAGCCGCGGUAAU